GACGAACCGUGCGAACGUUGUUCGGAAUCACUGGGCUUAAAGGGCGCGUAGGCGGGCGGGCAAGUCAGGGGGGAAAUCCCACGGCUCAACCGUGGAAGUGCCCUUGAUACUGCCGGUCUCGAGGGAGGUAGGGGCGUGCGGAACUUCCGGUGGAGCGGUGAAACGCGGAGAUAUCGGAAGGAACACCGGUGGCGAAAGCGGCGCGCUGGAUCUCUACUGACGCUGAGGCGCGAAAGCCAGGGGAGCAAACGGG
rnacentral:rRNA from 1 species